CGCACGGUACCACGCGAGGGCGCACCGCACCACACGAGCGAAAUCCACAGCGAGCGAGCGAGGCCACAGCGAUCGAGCCAGAGGAAAAAAGGCAUCGAACCCUAGCCCCAAUCCACAGCCCCGCGCCUCUCGCUCCUCCCUCCCUCGUCCGCCGCCACUCCCUCCCACCUCCUCCUCCUGCGCCCUAGGAGCCCCGCCGGCGACUGCUACUCCUCCACCGCCUCGCCUCUUCCUCCUCCUCGCCUUCCCAUCGCUCGUCUUCAGGCCGCAGCGGUGGUUCCCGAUCUGAGCCGUCUUCAGGUGCGUGGAGCGACGGAGGUCGGCUCCCUCCUCCACGGUCGCGCGGCGGGAGAGGAGUCAGCCCCGGUGCUCUGCCUCUCCAUCCGUCUCCGCAAGCUAUCGUCCGAUGCCGUCAUUGCCCGCCAUCAUCUUCAUCUUGCUCGCUGCCUGCUUGCUAGAGAGCCAUGGCUUUCCUCGCUGUAGGUUCUGGCGUUCUGCCAUGGCUUUUCUUGUCCCGUCCCACUCGCCUCCCCCUCCUCGUCACCCUCCUCUCUCUCUCUCUCUCUUUCUCGCUCACUGCCAAGAAGCCGCCGGAGGAGGAACUCGACCUGGACGACCGCCGCUGGACGAAGAGCCCCGAAAAAAUCCCCCAACCACCCCUGCGCCACCGCCUCUUCACCUUCGACCACGGGUUGCAACGUACGGUCAGAGGACCAAGUUGGAGCAUACUAGGCAAAUGGGCCUUGCCGUGAGUCGUGGUGCAACAGUGACCUCGAUGGGCAGGGCAAUGGUCAGAUACGAGUCAGCACCGAAGAUGACUGUAAGCACUCAAAAAAGUUUACCACGCUAGAGCUAUGUCAGGUUGUAUGAGGGCAGUUAAUGAAUAUACUUGUGACACUUAAACUCUCAGGCAAGCUUGCUCUCAGCAAUGCCAACAAACAUGGUUUAUGAUGAUAUUGGUGGUCUGAAGCUUUAGAUCGUCGGGGCUGCUCUCAUUUGUUCAAUUUGCCAGUGAUCCUUCCAUUCUACUGCUGCUCAUUAUUAUCACAUGAAGGAGGUGUUCUUCCGUUACAAUACUCCUGACGUGUUCCAUGAAAUGUCUAUGAGCUGGAACAUGUAUAUCCUUUCAAGUUCACUGAUGCGGUUACCACUACAACACACGUCCCUCCAAGGACCAAGGGUGGGCAUGAUCUUCUACAAGGUUGUUGUCUGUGACUAUUAGUACGGGAUCAACUUUGCGGUGUCCCCAUCGCUUCAAGUCAAGCUAAUAGAGCUAAAUGGGUAUCCAAUUUUAGAAAGCACACUUAAGAAACAUGAACACGUGUCUUUAGAUCCUAUGGAGCAUUCCUAAUAAUGACCAUCUAUUUAACUAUCUUGGAUCAUUACCAUUACAAAAUGCAGCAUGGCAUUCAUAAUGUUCAGUUAUUCAUAAAUGUGGCAUUUAAUUAUUCUCCUGGCAUGAUAUUUAAGCAUGUUGCAUAUACCAAUCUGUUGAUAAUUCAAUUAUUGAUUCUGAUGUACAAACAUGCAAAACCAUUGCCUGUUUGGAUGAUGCACAUGAGUAUGUUUUUGUUAGUUUUCGGUGAUGUACGUCGUGAAGCGGGACGGGCGGACGGAGACGGUGCACUUUGACAAGAUCACGGUGCGGCUCAAGAAGCUCAGCAAUGGGCUCAGCCAGGAGCACCGCAACCCCGUGCUCGGUCUGCGUCAGGGUAUACAUGGGCGUCACCACCAGCCAGCUCACCACCGAGACCGCCGCCGCGCUCACCGCCUCCCAGCCUGACUAUGCCUCCCUCGCGGCGAGGAUUGUUGUGUCCAACCUGCCGCCAAGUGGAAAUAGUUUGUGUGGCGCUCGUAAAUAGAGAGCAUUCUGGUAGAAAGCUGAAAGAUUAGCGAGACUGGCUAAAUUCUGAACAUGUUCCAUGUGAGAGAAAUAGCAUGUUGAUUUCAUCUUGAAAUAAUCAUAGCUGAGGGACGAGCUUCGUAACUAAGGGUCAUGUGUAGAGCUGAAGGAAGAAGUUGCGAGGCUUGGAACUCUCCUUGUGAAGGGCUCAGGGACAGCAGUGAGGACAAUGCCUCUUUAGUUGUAAUUGUGAUACUCCUGAUCUGCAAGUAAACACUCCUGUGAUACUAAAUGUUGGUUGUUAGUACAGAGGUGAUGCCAUUAGUUGGUUCUUUGGUA